rnacentral:rRNA from 1 species
GGAGGGUGCAAGCGUUAUCCGGAUUCACUGGGUUUAAAGGGUGCGUAGGUGGGUUGGUAAGUCAGUGGUGAAAUCUCCGGGCUUAACUCGGAAACUGCCGUUGAUACUAUCAAUCUUGAAUAUCGCGUAGGUAAGCGGAAUAUGUCAUGUAGCGGUGAAAUGCUUAGAUAUGACAUAGAACACCAAUUGCGAAGGCAGCUUACUUCACGAUCAUUGACACUGAGGCACGAAAGCGUGGGGAGCAAACAGGAUUAGAUACCCUGGUAGUCCACGCCCUAAACGAUGGAUACUCGACAUUAGCGAUACACAGUUAGUGUCUGAGCGAAAGCAUUAAGUAUCCCACCUGGGAAGUACGACCGCAAGGUUGAA